UAUAAAGUUUGUUUGAUGUUUUCGCCGCGACGAUUCGAAAUGAAACCAAGAAAUUAGCAGAAGUGAAGGUCACCGGAGAGGUGAAUGAGGAUUUUACCACUGGAACUAGAGAGCUUGGCUCUGGCUGGUCUACUACAGCAAGGAAUGUGCCAGGGGCCAAUCUGAUGAACAUGUGGCAGAAGAUUUGGCAAUGGGUGAAGAAACACUGAGAUUGAAAUGCAACCACAGGUGUAGGCUUCACCCAAACUUUUCAGACGGAUGCGAGAUACAAAGUUACCCAAGUAUAAAUGGUUGAAGGUUUUGGAGAGCCAGACAAGAAGGCAGGAAAUGUGAUGUCACUUUUACUUCAAUAAACAUGAACAGCAGCAGGAGCAACAACAGCAUCAGCAGCCGAAACCUCAACUGCAAUAAGAGAUGCAGCAACCGCACCGACAACAUCAAGAGCAACAGCAAAAAUACCUACAUGUAUUACAGCAGAAAUGCAACAAUCACAUUGGCAACAUCAACAGCAGCAGGAGCUCCAACAACCAUGCAGGGAACAUCGCGCGCAACAUAAAUAACUUCAUCAAGAGAUGCAACAACCACAGUGGUAAACAUCAACAGCAGUAGCGACAACGACAGUAGAAACAAAGCCAAUGUCAAGGAUUAAGCAAUCAUACAGGAAACAACACAAGCGGCAACAUCAAUAAAUGCUUCAGGGGAUGCAACAGCCAUACUUGUAAACAGCAGCAGUAGCAGCGAUGACAAGAGCAACCACACAGGCAACACCUUGAGCAACAUCAGUAGCAAUGCACCAGCAAUGAAACAAUCACACCAACAACACCAA
rnacentral:lncRNA from 1 species